AUUGAACGCUGGCGGCAGGCCUAACACAUGCAAGUCGAACGAGUGGCGGACGGGUGAGUAAUGUAUGGGGAACUGCCUGAUAGAGGGGGAUAACUACUGGAAACGGUGGCUAAUACCGCAUACCAUCGGAUGUGCCCAUAUGGGAUUAGCUAGUGGGUGGGGUAAAGGCUCACCAAGGCGACGAUCCCUAGCUGGGCUGAGAGGAUGAUCAGCCACACGGGAACUGAGACACGGCCCAGACUCCUACGGGAGGCAGCAGUGGGGAAUAUUGCACAAUGGGCGCAAGCCUGAUGCAGCCAUGCCGCGUGUAUGAAGAAGGCCUUAGGGUUGUAAAGUACUUUCAGCGGGGAGGCGUUACCCGCAGAAGAAGCACCGGCUAACUCCGUGCCAGCAGCCGCGGUAAUUC
rnacentral:rRNA from 1 species